rnacentral:ncRNA from 1 species
CCCGUCGUAAGACGGGAUCUGAAGGAAGCCGCAGGCAAAGCGCUGGCCCGACGAACAGGAACUGCAUAUGAGGCGGUCAUGCUGGAUGAGGAGGCAAAUAUCUUCAAAGUCCGAUACCUGUACGGAAAGCAUGGACGUAUAUGCGGCGGGCAUAAGCGUGAAGGUCGGUGCG